GUCCUUCAACUCCUGGAAGUUCACUGAGCCCUGGGCAAGCAUAACCAGGAAAUAUGUGAAAGUUGAAGCUGUGUGAUGCAGAGUAGCCCUCAACCAAUGGGCACUUGAGCUGUGGCUCAUCUGACUAAACCAGAAACAUUUACGGAAUACCUAUUAUGUCUCGCACCAUGCUGUACUAUAGAAUAUUACAAAGAUGAAGAGACCAACCCCAGGAAUUAGGGGACUGGCUCAUGAUAAAGUGACGGAGAAAGAAAUAGUGCAUAAAGUAUUACAACUGUUGGGACAGAGGAAACGUACUGUUGGAAGACAGAGCGGGUCAGGAACUAGUAGUGUACCAUCUUGGCUCUAGAAGAUAGUGGCACUUCAUCUCGGAAAGGUGGGAAAAAGCAUCCCAGGAUACUCAGAAAUACAUCAGCAAAAGAGAAGUCUUUUCUCAAGUUGAGGGCCCCGCCAUUGCAAAGGGGCGAGGAGCCAGAACCCAGGUGGCCUGUUUGGCAUGCGGUGGGCGCACAACUGCUCUCGACGCACUUAAGCCGAACGCGGAAGUCACGCAGCACCUCCACGGACAGGCACUCCUGGGGAGAAGCGCUGAGAAAUCCAGAAAUCUGUCCCAAGUCCCAGGGAUGAGCACCAACCACAGAGACGCCAGCCCAGCCAGGUUCUGGUCAGCCCCAGGCUCCCCAGCGGCGACAGGGAAGCGCGAUCCCAGCAGACCUGGCCCAGGCGCUCCCGAGGCGGCUGAGCAUGCUCAGUUGCUAGGACGCGGUGGCUCCGGAGCCCGGAGCCGCGCUGCAGAGUCCCAGCCCCGCAGGCUCUUGGCCCGGGAGGGGGCUCGCGCCGUGGGGGCGGGGCCUUGGGCACCCGCGCCCUCCUAGCCCGCUGGCCCUCGGUCCCCCAGCCCCCAGCCACGCGUCCGCCGCCUGCGCGCCGGCCGUCCGUUGCCCUGGCAACCGUCGUGCCGCGUCUUCCUGAGGGAGUUCCUGUCAGCCCGCUGACCCCACCGCCCGCUCCCCACUGGCCCGCGGUUUUCGCGUGGGCUCGGAGACUGAGGGACAACAAAAAUGGCGGAGCGGAGCCAGACAGCGCCUGAGGCAGGAGCCUUGUUUAGUGGAGCCUUGUUUUGAGAUGAGAAAGAGGAUAAACGACAACUAGCCACCAAAAUUAUCUUUAAUAAUUUAUUUAUACAACAAAAACUUUGAUCAGUCAUGCUGGCACAGGAAUAACUCAAUGCUUGCAAUACUGAGACAUAUGAGAAGGUUCCAGGUUCACUUCUCAAGAUCUCCCUGUGCAUGCUUCUUGCUUUCCUGUAGCUGAAAAUCAGGGCCUUGUAGCUUUUUUGAUGAAGAAGACCAGAAUGAGGAUAAGCAAGAUGAGGCAUCUCAGUCCUGAGUCACAAUGAAGCCUUAACAAGAUGAAGGGGAAGAGCUGUACUUGGACACAUGGGGACCCUGGACCAAAGAGAACCACUC